rnacentral:rRNA from 1 species
AGUGAACGCUGGCGGUAGGCCUAACACAUGCAAGUCGAACGGCAGCACAGUAAGAGCUUGCUCUUACGGGUGGCGAGUGGCGGACGGGUGAGGAAUACAUCGGAAUCUACUUUUUCGUGGGGGAUAACGUAGGGAAACUUACGCUAAUACCGCAUACGACCUACGGGUGAAAGCAGGGGAUCUUCGGACCUUGCGCGAUUGAAUGAGCCGAUGUCGGAUUAGCUAGUUGGCGGGGUAAAGGCCCACCAAGGCGACGAUCCGUAGCUGGUCUGAGAGGAUGAACAACCAAAUGGGAAUGGAGACACGGUCCAGCCCCCUAGGGGGGGCAGCGGUGGGGAAAUUUGGACAAUGGGGGCAAGCCGGACCCAACCAAACGGGGUGGGUGAAGAAGGCCUUCGGGUUGUAAAGCCCUUUUGGGGGGAAAAAAAAGCAGCAGGUUAAAACCCCGCUGUUCUAAGGGUACCCAAAAAAAAAGAACCGGUAAACUUCGU